GGAAGGAUCAUUAUCAUUUAUAAUCCUAUAUUCUAAUCGUUAAAGUCUUUCAAAAGGCAUUAAUAUGUAAUUAUCUAUUAUAUUUAAGAAACUUGUCUUACAAACCCAAUCAAAAAAAAUAUGGAAAGCCUCCCUUAAAAAAGGUGGUAAUCCAAAACAACCCAUACGACUUCCAACAAUGGAUAUCUCGGCUCCCACUUCGAUGAAGAACGCAGCGAAAUGCGAUACGUAAUGCGAAUCGCAGAUAGCCGUGAGUCAUCAAAUCUUUGAAUGCAUCCUGCACCUCGGGAACUCUUCGGAGUAACCCCAGGUACACUCGGAUGAGAGUGACUUAAGGCGUUUCAAGGGAGAAGGAAGUGGGUUAAACGAGUAGGCAUUCACUUGCCCCGUUUCCCAUGCCAAUCUCCUGGGAACUUAAAUGUUCCUGAUAUAUUGAUUGAUUGUGUCCAAUCGGAACUCUUUAUUGAGAAGAUGAUUGGUCAAUCUAAAUAAACGUUGGGAUUAAAUCCUAAUGGUCUCAUCGAAAUAAAGUAAAUUAGAAAAGAAUAAAGUUCUGUCUCCAGGGAAUGACCUUCUAAGUAAAAGAGGGAAUGUUCUAGAGAGGCCCACUAAGUAAUCAGAAUUUGAUGCGAAAGCAACAAAGUACUGAAGAAAGGAGGGGGACUCAGGAAAUUGCCCUUUUUAAAAGGAAAGUUAAUACUCAGGGGAACAAAACCAGAGCUUUGUAUCGUCUAAUUGAAAUCGAAGAGACUUGGAUAAAACCAACAAACCCCUUCGGAAGACUUUUCUUCGGGAGAGUCUUUACAAAUAAUAUGUAAGUUUAUUUUGUAUUCCUUUCGGGGGAUAGAAAAUAACUUAUAUAACUAAUUAGCCUCACCUCAUCUCGAGUGGGAAUACCCGCUGAAUUGAAGCAUCUUAAUAAGCGGAGGAAAAGAAAACAACCGUGAUUCCCUUAGUAACGGCGAGUGAACAGGGAAAAGCCCAAGCCUGUAAUCCUGGGCAGCCGCCCCUUUUGGCCUCGGCCGAGGGGGGUAAAAACCCGGCUGCCAGGAAUUGUGGCCUCACGACGCGCCCUAGGUUCAGUGCAGUCUCAACGGUUCCAAGUCACCUGGAAAGGUGCCGACAUAGAGGGUGAAAUUCCCGUAGGGACCGACUCCGAAAGGGGGAUGAGCGAGUCACUUUUGGACCCACAGAGGGACGCAGUCGCAGAGUCGGGCUGCUUGAGAGUGCAGCCUGAAUCCGGGUGGUAUACUCCACCCAAGGCUAAAUACACGGUGGGAGACCGAUAGCGCACAAGUACCGCGAGGGAAAGAUGCAAAGAACUCUGAAUAGAGAGUUAAAAGAACUUGAAGUUGUUGGAAGAGAAGCGAUUGCCACCUGCGAAGAGCGGCGAUCGGGCAGGGAUCUCUACAUUUGUGGGGAUACAACGGUAGUGGAGGCUUCGGCCUCUAUUCCGCUCUGCCUCAGUCAGGUCGUCCAGCCGGUAUCAGCUAGGGUUUGGGUACGACGCCCCUCAGAGGUAAGUUGCCACCGACGUGAUCGCAAGAUCGCGGUACAGGAUGGUGAGCAAACCUUUGAAGCCGGGCAACGUGGUCCCCUUGGCUGAUGUAAUUCGAUGUGCCUUCUCCCAGACCCCUUCGCAAGAGGGGGCGUAAGGAGAAAGGGCGGGAGGCUUUGAACGGGUUCUGUUCACGGGGAACGAGAGACCUGUUGCUGCUCGGGGGGAGACCUUCGGGCAAGCGCAGGCUGUCCUCUUCGUGAACUGGGAUCCGGUCAGAGUCCACCAGCCCGAAAGCCAGGCAUGGAGGAUACCGGUAAGGCAAGGUGUCAAUCGUCCCGUCUUGAAACACGGACCAAGGAGUUCGACAUGCAUGCGAGCGUGAGGGUGUGAAAAACCCGAACGCGAAACCAACGUGAACACCUGGGACUCUCUGGUUAAACUCCGGGGACGCACCAGGGACCUGCCCAGAGGGACGGGGAGUGGGGCCAGCUUGAUGAAGGGUGAAUAACCUUUUGUCAGGUUGGCGCAAAAAACCCAUUUCUCGCACCGAAACGGGCCAGAGUCAGAGUAUGCAUGUUGAGACCCGAAAGAUGGUGAACUAUGCCCGGGGAGGAUGAAGCCAGGGGAAACCCUGGUGGAAGUCCGCAGCGAUACUGACGUGCAAAUCGUUCGUCAGACCUGGGUAUAGGGGCGAAAGACCCAUCGAACCAUCUAGUAGCUGGUUCCCUC
rnacentral:misc_RNA from 1 species